rnacentral:lncRNA from 7 species
AAACGAAUCCAAAACUCUAACCCUAGGAACAAAAAAUAUAUAUACUCAAAUACACAUAGAUGGUAAAUUCUAUCAGAAAAGCAAAAAAAAAAAAAAAACCCUAAAUUAUGGGGUUUUCCCCCUAGGAUGUAACGGUGAGCUGCUAACAACUGUAAUGUCAGCUGAACAUGCAUAUCCUCCUAUGUAAAAGCUAUGAGGGAAGCAUGCAGUGAUGCUAAGUACCAUUCUUGCACAUGCUGGGAAGAGAAGGAGGGAAGGGUUAUUCUCCCUCCAGAGAAACUUCCUGAAAAUUGAAGGCCAAGUUGUUCCUCCAUAUUCCUGAAGGAAAAGACUACAGUACAGAAUGUCACGAUACUCGCUUCCAGUAAAGGCCUUUUCUCAUCAUAAAGUCUCUAACUCUUUGACAGCACUCCAGCUACUUAAGAAUGAUUUGACUCUUUUGUGACUGCAACUUUAUACAUGCUAGUCGACAUGUUUUGUAUGAGUCAUUGCCAAGACUACAACAGACUUUCUUUCAGAGGUUCUUCAAUGGGCUCGGAAAGAAUGACAGGAAGCGUAACAGUGAGAGGAAGAGAAAUUCUUCUUACAGUCACUGAGCAGUUCCAUUCUGCAACAAAGCCAAAGCUGUGUUGGUGAAAGAAUAACGUGGUGAUGACAGCAAGAAAAUCUAUGAUCCUCUUGUCUUUUGCCAUAUCCCAACCUUAUUCAGAAAUUCACAACUCUGCAACUGUAAGCUUUGCUUUUGUUGUACUGUAUUGCUUCAGAGAAAUUAAAACUUACCUCCUGCG